CGGGCGGUCGCUCAGCGGGAGAGCAUAUGACUGGCCUCUGGGGCUCCUUGUCCACGUGUGGGCCGCAGCCGGAAGCUUACCUGGACCAUAAGGUCGCGGGUUCGAUUCCCGCUCGCCCGG
rnacentral:tRNA from 1 species